rfam:Pochonia chlamydosporia 170 chromosome 6, whole genome shotgun sequence.
AACCGGGUAGUUUAAUGGUAGCGCGUCUGGCUACAACAAGUAUUAUUAUAACAUUCUUGGUAGUUAGGAGAUGCAGGUUUAAGUCCUGUCCCGGUUA